rnacentral:rRNA from 1 species
GACGAACGUUGGCGGCGUGCUUAACACAUGCAAGUCGAACGGAAAGGCCUCUUUCGGGGGGUACUCGAGUGGCGAACGGGUGAGUAACACGUGAGUAACCUGCCCUUGACUUUGGGAUAACUUCAGGAAACUGGGGCUAAUACCGGAUAGGAGCUCCUGCUGCAUGGUGGGGGUUGGAAAGUUUCGGCGGUUGGGGAUGGACUCGCGGCUUAUCAGCUUGUUGGUGGGGUAGUGGCUUACCAAGGCUUUGACGGGUAGCCGGCCUGAGAGGGUGACCGGCCACAUUGGGACUGAGAUACGGCCCAGACUCCUACGGGAGGCAGCAGUGGGGAAUAUUGCACAAUGGGUGGAAGCCUGAUGCAGCAACGCCGUGUGCGGGAUGACGGCCUUCGGGUUGUAAACCGCUUUCGCUCAUGACGAAGCUUUGUGUGACGGUAGUGGGUAAAGAAGCACCGGCUAACUACGUG